GGGACUUCAAGCACAUCAAUGUAGAGCUCAGACUCCUCAGAAAGAAAAGGAAGAGGCUGUGGGAUUGACAAAUGGUCAUUAAAGAGGAUGCAAUUGACCUAAAGGAGAUCACAGAUUCAAGAUAGAAGAAAUUUGGAUCCUUAUAGAUUCAUGCUUAUGGCUUCCCAGUUAACAUCUUCACUGUAUUCUGAUAGAGCUACCAGCAACUCCAUUCUUUCCCAUUGUUCAGGCCAAAUCCUUGGCACCAUCCAUUCUUCACCACUCAGAUGAGGACAACACUCUUAGGCCUGAUGGAAGCUCAGGAGAAAAGAAGCCUGCAUUCCUAAAUGGACCACAGCUGCUUUGCAGGUUUGCACCACUCACUCUGGAACAUCA